rnacentral:rRNA from 1 species
UACGUAGGGUGCGAGCGUUGUCCGGAAUUAUUGGGCGUAAAGGGCUCGUAGGCGGUUUGUCGCGUCGGGAGUGAAAUCCACUGGCUUAACUGGUGGCUUGCUUCGAUACGGGCAGACUGGAGGUAUGCAGGGGAGAACGGAAUUCCUGGUGUAGCGGUGAAAUGCGCAGAUAUCAGGAGGAACACCGGUGGCGAAGGCGGUUCUCUGGGCAUGUCCUGACGCUGAGGCGCGAAAGCGUGGGGAGCGAACCGG